ACAUAAACCCGAUAGGAUGGAUGCCGUUUUUCACGGCAGGAAGUAUAGCGGGGCAGAAG
rnacentral:sRNA from 1 species